rnacentral:rRNA from 1 species
GAUGAACGCUAGCGGCAGGCCUAACACAUGCAAGUCGAGGGGUAGAGUUAGCUUGCUAACUUGAGACCGGCGCACGGGUGCGUAACGCGUAUGCAAUCUACCUUGUACAGAGGGAUAGCCCAGAGAAAUUUGGAUUAAUACCUCAUAGUAUCUUUACCUGGCAUCGGGUAAUUAUUAAAGUUCCAACGGUACAAGAUGAGCAUGCGUCCCAUUAGUUAGUUGGUAAGGUAACGGCUUACCAAGACAAUGAUGGGUAGGGGUCCUGAGAGGGAGAUCCCCCACACUGGUACUGAGACACGGACCAGACUCCUACGGGAGGCAGCAGUGAGGAAUAUUGGUCAAUGGACGCAAGUCUGAACCAGCUAUGCCGCGUGCAGGAAGACGGUCCUAUGGGUUGUAAACUGCUUUUAUACAGGAAGAAACAACUCUACGUGUAGAGUCUUGACGGUACUGUAGGAAUAAGGAUCGGCUAACUCCGUGCCAGCAGCCGCGGU